GAUAAUUGAAUAGAAGUACUCCAUUCAAAAUGCUGACUCCUUCCAUCUGGUCAGAGUCAAAUGAUAUCUGGAUCAUUGCCUUCAUUUCUAUGUUACAAAAUUUAGGAAAGUCAUUGACAACCAUAGACAUGCCUUCAGGUGAGUAUCCAAAGGAUUCAGAUAUUUAAAAGAAUGGCUAAAAGAAUUAGUUAAAGGAUAUAGGAAUAUUUUUUGAGGAGAAAAGAAAAUUUUGUGUCAAUAGAGCUUUGAGAUAUUUAAAGAACUUUCAUGGAAGAGAAAUUAAACAUGGCUUAGCUGAAAUGAAAAGGGAAACCUAUAAACAAUAGGUCAAAUUCGUAAAGACAUAAAUUUAACCUCAUAAGAUUUUCCAAAAGCUAAAGCUAUCCUGAAAUCAAAGGG
rnacentral:lncRNA from 1 species